UACGUAGGGUGCGAGCGUGUCCGGAAUUAUUGGGCGUAAAGGGCUCGUAGGCGGUUUGUCGCGUCGGGAGUGAAAACCAGGUGCUUAACACCUGGCUUGCUUUCGAUACGGGCAGACUAGAGGUAUUCAGGGGAGAACGGAAUUCCUGGUGUAGCGGUGAAAUGCGCAGAUAUCAGGAGGAACACCGGUGGCGAAGGCGGUUCUCCUGGGCCGUAACUGACGCUGAGGAGCGAAAGCGUGGGGAGCAAACAGG
rnacentral:rRNA from 1 species